rnacentral:rRNA from 1 species
GUAGGUCCCGAGCGUUGUCCGGAUUUAUUGGGCGUAAAGCGAGCGCAGGCGGUUUGAUAAGUCUGAAGUUAAAGGCUGUGGCUCAACCAUAGUUCGCUUUGGAAACUGUCAAACUUGAGUGCAGAAGGGGAGAGUGGAAUUCCAUGUGUAGCGGUGAAAUGCGUAGAUAUAUGGAGGAACACCGGUGGCGAAAGCGGCUCUCUGGUCUGUAACUGACGCUGAGGCUCGAAAGCGUGGGGAGCGAACAGGAUUAGAUACCCUGGUAGUCCACGCCGUAAACGAUGAGUGCUAGGUGUUGGAUCCUUUCCGGGAUUCAGUGCCGCAGCUAACGCAUUAAGCACUCCGCCUGGGGGGUACGACCGCAAGGUUG